UACGGAGGGUGCAAGCGUUAUCCGGAUUCACUGGGUUUAAAGGGUGCGUAGGUUGAUUGGUAAGUCAGUGGUGAAAUACUCCGACUCAAUCGGAGAACUGCCGUUGAUACUAUCAAUCUUGAAUACGGUGGAGGCGGGCGGAAUGCGUCAUGUAGUGGUGAAAUACUUAGAUAUGACGCAGAACACCUAUUGCGAAGGCAGCUCGCUACACCGGCAUUGACACUGAGGCACGAAAGCGUGGGGAUCAAACAGG
rnacentral:rRNA from 1 species